AACGGUAGGUCAGUAUGCCCUGAAUCCCUCGGGCUACACGCGCGCUACAAAGGCUGGGACAAUGGGUUGCGAUGCCGAAAGGCAAAGCUAAUCCCUAAACCCAGUCGUAGUUCGGACCGAGGGCUGCAACUCGCCCUCGUGAAGGUGGAUUCCGUAGUAAUCGCGUCUCAAAAUGGCGCGGUGAAUAUGCCCCUGCUCCUUGCACACACCGCCCGUCAAGCCAAGCGAGUUGGGUCUGGGUGAGGACCUGCUGCAUGGCAGGUUCGAACCCGGGCUCAGCGAGCGGGGCUAAGUCGUAACAAGGUAUCCGUAGGGGAACCUGCGGAUGGAUCACCUCCUACGC
rnacentral:rRNA from 1 species